rnacentral:rRNA from 1 species
CCCGGUGGCUAUAGCGGAGGGGCCACACCCGUUCCCAUUCCGAACACGGAAGUUAAGCCCUCCAGCGCCGAUGGUACUGCUUGGGCGACCUUGUGGGAGAGUAGGACGUCGCCGGGU